GACAGUUGCAGUGGGAAACGAGCUUACGCGCUUUAUGACUUCGAUGCCCGAGAUCAUGAAGAUCUCUCUUUCCGCAAAGGCGACGUUCUAAUACUCAAAGACCAGAACAAUAUAAAAUAUGAAGGAUGGUGUUACGCACGGCAUAACGACCCAAAAAACAAGAAUUUCCAGGCAGAGGGUUACGUGCAAUUGAAUUAUGUGGCCACUGAAGACAGCUGCAGUGAGAAACGAGCUUACGCGCUUUAUGACUUCGAUGCCCGAGAUCAUGAAGAUCUCUCUUUC